CGCGGCGCGGCGCGGCGGGGGGCGGGGCUGCUCUGCCCCGGUGGGUGCCAGGGCGGAGCCGCUCUGGGCAGGCGCGGGGGGCGGGGCGGGGAGCCAGCAGGCCGCAGACAAUAACCUUGGGCCCCUGACAGAGACUCGGGAAGGAGUCCCUGAGCUCGGUCCGGCGCCGUCACCUGGCGGCAAUGCCCGUGCUGUGCCGUGCGCCCCGGCCAGAUUGCACAGCAGCCAGGAGAGUGGAGCAGCUUGCCGCAGGAAGGAAACCUGUUUGUCAAGGCCACCAAAGCGAUGGUGUGUGGCUGCAAGUGAGGAGCAGGCCAGACUGCAAAGGAGGAUGAAGGACGUGUUCGCUAGCCAAUCUGAGGAGCAGGAGGACAGCUCCACCACCCUGUGCCCCCUGUCAGGGGCACCUGCUUAGCAAUGUUGCUGACGCACAGCUGUGAUACCAGGCCCCCUUUGUGAAAGUAAGUGUCCCCUGCAACCCCUGGUUCCCCAAGGGCAGCUGGGAGGGAGCUUUCUGUAACACAGCCAGGCAUGUUUCCUUGCAGUGACUGUUUGUCUGUCCAGGGGCAGCGGGGGUAGUGCUGCAUCUUGGCAAUCAGUCAGGAGCCCUCCUGAGUGGUGCUUCUGUGCUAGUGGUCUCAGGGCUCCCCUCUGCACUGUCACCAUUCAGCAGACCAUGCCCAGCCUGCCCUGGCUUGGGCAUCUCUCCAACACCCAGGCUGAGAGUCUAGCACUGACUCCCAACAAACCCUCAAUUUGGGUGCUGUAUGGAUUGGACAGAUGUGGCUAGCUGGAUCCAAGUGCUUGUCAAGCAGAACUACUAGCCUGGUGCCCCACUGUGCUCUUGAACUGAGCCCCUUCCCCAGCAGGAAGGGCCCAGGGCAUUAUUCUGAGCCUGCAUUGGUGGUGGGGUUGGUAACCAGAGCAUCUUUCUACCUUCUCCAACAAGAGGCUGAGACCUCUAUGCAAUGAAAAAGACUUGGCUUUGCUUUGCAAUGUAAUGUGUUUGCUGUGGCUUGAGGACACAAGCUCUUUGUGGGAAGGCCAGACCUGCUUUGGGUAUAUUUGUACAGGGCCCAAUCCCAACAGGGGCCUCUGCUGCUAUUGGGGUAGAGCUUGGCUAUGCUCCUGCCUGGCCUUUGCCUGUGUUCUCUGGGCUAAUUGAACACAUCAGUCCUGCACUAAGGGUUCUCCAGCACAUUCGGUAUCAGGGUCAGCUGCAUUCCCCACUGCUAUGGCCCAUGAUUAAUAGAAUAUUAUGGUUAGAAGGUACCUCAGGAGGUCAUCUAGUCCAACCUCCUGCUCAAAGCAGGAUCAAACCCCAGAUUUUACCUUAGUUCCUUACAUGGCCCCCACAAGGAUUGAACUCACAACCAUGGGUUUAGCAGGCCAAUGCUCAAACCACCAAGCUAUCUCUUCCUCUAGCUGAAAGCCAUCUGCACCAGAGACAGCUUUAACACCACCUGGAUGGGCCAGACCUCCAAGUUCACAAUCACCAAAGGAUUUGUCUGACUUCCAAGCUGAGGUCAGUAGGAGGAAGGGCCUGGUCUAACGGCUUCAUGGCUUCUCCUGUUUGAAAGCCCGUCAGAUGACACUGGAGCCAGCGCAGCAUCUCUCAUGCUGUCACUUUUAUCAGGCCAUUUAGAGCAUGGUUUUCAUGUCCAAUUUCCUUAGCACCCACCCAGCUCCUUGCCUAGGGUCAGGUUCCUCACUCCCUCAAGGGACUUUGCUGCUGGUUGGACUGA
ensembl:lncRNA